GUGGCGGAUGACGGUACCGGAAGAAUAAGCACCGGCUAACUACGUGCCAGCAGCCGCGGUAAUACGUAGGGUGCAAGCGUUAAUCGGAAUUACUGGGCGUAAAGCGUGCGCAGGCGGUUCGCUAAGACAGAUGUGAAAUCCCCGGGCUUAACCUGGGAACUGCAUUUGUGACUGGCGGGCUAGAGUAUGGCAGAGGGGGGUAGAAUUCCACGUGUAGCAGUGAAAUGCGUAGAGAUGUGGAGGAAUACCGAUGGCGAAGGCAGCCCCCUGGGCCAAUACUGACGCUCAUGCACGAAAGCGUGGGGAGCAAACAGGAUUAGAUACCCUGGUAGUCCACGCCCUAAACGAUGUCAACUAGUUGUCGGGUCUUCAUUGACUUGGUAACGUAGCUAACGCG
rnacentral:rRNA from 1 species